GUUGGUCAAUUUGGAAAUGAGCUUGUGCUUUUUCGAGAUGCAAAGAGAGGAUUCAGUGAUCGAGCGGCGAUUGCAUCAAGGUCAACCAUGGUGCCCGCUGAAUGGUGGUUCAUGUAUGGGAACCAAACACCUA